GCCUGGGUGGCUCAGUCGGUUGAGUGUCCGACUUUGGCUCAGGUGAUGAUCUCGUGGUCCGUGGGUUUGAGCCCCGCAUCGGGCU
rnacentral:tRNA from 1 species